ACCUGGCUGCUUGCCCCUUGGGUAGUCUUGACUUCCCGGGGACCUCUGGGUUCUCUCUCCUUUUUGCUACAAGCUCCGAUCGUUUUGACUUCUGGAAGCCAGAACCGUGCGUGCAUCUCUCAGUAUAACAGGGUGAAUCUCAGAAUGGAACAGCUCUGGAUCCUCUCCCCAUUCCCCAAAGAGAACUAAAUUUCAAGCUUCUCUCCUUUAUGCCUGCCUGAUUUCCAUGCCCAGAGCUUCCAGUUCCCAGAGAAGAUGUAAUAUCUCAUUUUAAGCACAGACAAGCAACCUGGAUUCUGGACCAAAAAGGCCGAGACACUGCUCUCCAGAUCAAGAGAUCAGACUUGAAAUGAAGGACACUACUGAAGUGAUUAGUCUUUCUGUGGCAGAACCUCAUAAUCCAAGAAUUAUACGUUGCUGUGAUUUUACUUGGAGAGAAAUCUGUGCUACUUAAAAGAAACUCCAAACGGGCAAGAAACCUUAUGAAUGUAACCAGUGUGGAAAGAGUUUUAGAAAAAGGAGAGCUCUUACUGUACAUCAGAGAAUGCACUCUAAAGAGAAACCUUAUGAGUGUAACCAGUGUGGAAAGGCUUUUAUUGAAAGAAAAGCUCUUACUUUACAUCAGAGAAUCCACAUUGGAGAGAAAUCAUAUGUAAGUAAUCCAUAUGGAAAGGGUUUUGUAGUAAAUAUGGAUAAGUUCUUGCCAGAUUGUGCUUCUGAAUUAAAUUGUUCAAUGUA